rnacentral:lncRNA from 1 species
UAACUGUCUUUUUUUUAGUUUGUCCUAGUCUUUAGGGAUAUUUAAUUGAACUCACACUUUUUGUGAAAAGUGGGGAAGGAAAAGUUUUGUUGGUUAUGUGCUUGUAUGUGGAUGAUUUGAUAUAUACAGGAAACGAUUUCAACAUGUUUGAAAGGUUCAAGUAAUCUAUGAUGUUGGAAUUUGAUAUGUCUGAUUUAGGGAAGAU